AGCGAACGUUAGCGGCGGGCCUAACACAUGCAAGUCGAACGGGCUGUAGCAAUACAGUCAGUGGCGCACGGGUGCGUAACGCGUAGAUAAUCUACCUCUCAGUGGGGGAUAACUAGGGGAAACUCUAGCUAAUACCGCAUAAGACCACGGAGUCUUCGGGCUUUGAGGGAAAAGGCGGCCUCUGAAUAUGCUGUCGCUGGGAGAUGAGUCUGCGUCCCAUCAGCUAGUUGGUGAGGUAAUGGCUCACCAAGGCAAAGACGGGUAGCUGAUCUGAGAGGAUGAUCAGCCACACUGGCACUGGAACACGGGCCAGACUCCUACGGGAGGCAGCAGUGGGGAAUCUUGCGCAAUGGGCGAAAGCCUGACGCAGCGACGCCGCGUGGGUGAUGAAGGCC
rnacentral:rRNA from 1 species